rnacentral:rRNA from 1 species
UUCCCAUACGGGUUGAAGCAUGACCGUAAGGACAUGUGGACAGUAUGGGAGUGAGAAUGUUGGCAUGAGUAGCGAGAUGUGGGUGAGAAUCCCACAGGCCGUAAACCCAAGGUUUCCAGGGGAAGGUUCGUCCGCCCUGGGUUAGUCGGAACCUAAGCUGAGGCCGAAAGGCGUAGGUGAUGGACAACAGGUUGAUAUUCCUGUACUACCGAUAACCAUUUGAGAGAAGGGAUGACACAGUAGGAUAAGCUAAGCACACUGUUGGUUAUGUGUGCCCAAGCAUUGAGGCAGUCAAAGUAGGCAAAUCCGCUUUGAUAAUGCUGGGAUGUGAUGGG